rnacentral:rRNA from 1 species
UAGUCGAAUUUGUGUCCCGCGCCACCGGUUCAUCGCUCGCGGUGUCAACUGGCGCGUCCGCGGGACGUCCUGCCGGUGAGUCGAUCGAUUUCGGUCGUUCGGCUCGUUCAUUCCAAUCCGGUGCUCUUCAUCGGGUGCCGGACUGGGCCGGCACGUUUACUUUGAACAAAUUAGAGUGCUCAAAGCAGGCCAUCGCACGCCUGAAUAUUUUCUGCAUGGAAUAAUGGAAUAGGACCUCGGUUCUAUUUUGUUGGUUUUCGGAAUCCCGAGGUAAUGAUUAACAGGAACGGAUGGGGGCAUUCGUAUUGCGACGUUAGAGGUAGAAUUCUUGGAUCGUCGCAAGACGGACUAGAGCGAAAGCAUUUGCCAAAAACGCUUUCAUUGAUCAAGAACGAAAGUUAGAGGUUCGAAGGCGAUCAGAUACCGCCCUAGUUCUAACCAUAAACUAUGCCAACUAGCAAUUUGCUUUGUAUUUUUUAUGACUAAGUGAGAGGCCACGGGAAACCUAAGUAGGGUUAUGGGGGAAGUAUGGUUGCAAAGCUGAAACUUAAAGGAAUUGACGGAAGGGCACCACCAGGAGUGGAGCCUGCGGCUUAAUUUGACUCAACACGGGAAAACUUACCUGGUCCUGACACUAGAAGGAUUGACAGAUUGAUAGCUCUUUCUUGAUUUGGUGGAUGGUGGUGCAUGGCCGUUCUUAGUUGGUGGAGUGAUUUGUCUGGUUAAUUCCGAUAACGAACGAGACUCUAGCCUAUUAAAUAAUACACGGAAUUUUAUCUUCCGCGGUAUUUCUUAGUGGGAUCAAGCGUGUUUAACGC